CCUCAGUGCGGGCACAGCGGCGAGAGGUCCUAAGGAGAUAUAAACGAAGGACCCUGGAAUCAGCAUAUGUGGCACGCGCUCCAUUCUCUUCUUACUUUGCAAAGCUGUAUGAUGGACCAUGGAUUGCUGCUUGGUUGUUGGCAGGAGGAGCUGGUAUGUCCUCAGCCACGAUGGCUGGAAUUCAUCUUCCCUAACUCUUACCAUAUAAAAGUUAGAUGAAGUUAAUGUACAGCCUUAAGUGCUGUAGCUGGCUCUUUCUUCACUUGAGGAAAAUUCUAUCUCAAUAAUUUUGCUGGAAUAGUGUUGUGUAUGGGAACUGUUGAACCAUGGCCUGAACCCCUGAUUGAUCACCUGAGGCAAGCACUGAGUCAGCUGUGGGAGCACAGGUGAAGGCAAUUCACCUGUGUGACCGGAAGGGGUGGAGCCUGGCUGCACCUCUCCUA
rnacentral:lncRNA from 1 species